CUUAUGAAUGCACAAAACAUAAAAUGCUGACAAAUAAUGUAAAGUAUUAAUCUAAAUUGUAGGUUGUGUACGUCGUCAUACAUUUAUUUAUUGAUCGGAACGUUUUUCUUCGACUGAACCACAGUGGUUAUAGUUUAAUCAGUUCAUGUGGUUCUUACAGUGUUUUCAGUGCUGGAAUUUACGCAGGCCAAGUGGACGAAAUAGCAUAUUUCCGGUCUUAUAUUAGUUUUGCACAGUAAAGUCCUAAGGAAAUAAUUAUGUUUGUUCUUCGCCCAUUGUACGAGGCAUUUUCAGAUCUGUCGUUUGAACCCUGGCGUAUCCCUGAUGCACACAGUCCAUGGAACUGGACAAAAGAA